UGAGAUAUCGUGAUGUCUUUACUGGGCUAGUGUAGCUCAUUCCUUAUUUAAUCAUUUCAGAUCAAGAGGACAUCGUUCCCGAGCCGGUUCUGCAGGAGGACGACGAAGGGGACGCCUAAAGACUCCAUAGUCAUAUUCGUAGCUUUUACUUUCAAGUUUCUCCUUUAGGUAGUUUGAUCUUUUAUAUUUUGUGAGCACGUUUUUGGUUUUAGUGUAAGGGAUGUUAUUCAAAUUUUGACUUCGCUUCCG
rnacentral:lncRNA from 1 species